rnacentral:rRNA from 1 species
CAGUAGCCGCGGGAAUACGAAGGGGGCUAGCGUUGCUCGGAAUCACUGGGCGUAAAGGGUGCGUAGGCGGGUCUUUAAGUCAGAGGUGAAAUCCUGGAGCUCAACUCCAGAACUGCCUUUGAUACUGAGGAUCUUGAGUUCGGGAGAGGUGAGUGGAACUACGAGUGUAGAGGUGAAAUGCGUAGAUAUCGAUCGGAACACCCAUGGCGAAGGCAGCUCGCUGGCCUAACACUGACGCUGAGGCGCGAAAGCGUGGGGAGCAAACAGGAUUAGAGACCCCCGUAGUCCCUGUCUCUUAUAC